rnacentral:lncRNA from 1 species
UUCACUGUUGAAGCCGGUCCUUUUACUUUGCUCAAUAACUUCAGUGCUUCACUAGCAGCUGAAGCUCUCGGUGUUGAUUCUUUUGUCAAGGAAUUCUGUUUAAACAUACAAGAAAAUCAAGAAUUAAAUAUAUUUUUCUCUCCUGAAAUUAGUCAUUUGUUAGAUACAUAUGCUUUCAUAAACGGCAUUGAGAUUUUCACAGUGCCUGCAAGUCAUUCUUACUUUGAAGGCGGAGAUGUUGGGCUCCAAUUGGUGGGCGAGAAGUCUCGGGUUUACAUUGAUUCCAGCACUGCACUAGAGAUAUUUCACCAAGUAGAGUUUAAGCAGAGCAAUGUUCAUUCUGCCGGAGAUUUUCGUGGACUGUUUCCCAAGUGGGAGAACAUAAAUGCAAAGAGGAAAAACAAUAACACAUGGAAAAUGCCUGUGGAUGUGGGGUUCAAGUACUUGAUCAGAGUUCAUUUCUCUGAGUUAGGGCUCAAGAUUGCAAGAAAUGGUGAUAAUAAGUUCAAAGUCCUUAUUAAUGAAAUGAUUGCUCGAACGAAUAUUGACGUCGUUAAAGAAAGCAAUGAAAAUAAAAUACUCUGGUAUAGGGACUACACGGUGAAGGUGAGAGGAAACAAAAAGGAGGGAAAACGUGAUAUCUUGAUUUCCUUGCAGUCAUAUGAUGAUCUUAUAGACGAUCAGGUACUUGUUUCAGGGUUCGAAAUAUUUAAGUUGAGCAACUCUGAUAACAAUCUUGCCAGUCCAAAUCCUUCACCUCUAGCUCGGGAUUCAGCUUCCAACACUAUAACUCUAUUCCUUUUUCUUUAUCACAGAAAUGCAAUCGCAGAUGUUGCAAUAGCUAUGAUGUCUUUGGUGUGCAUAAUUGGUUAUAAUUUACGGGAAAUUCGGGAAGCUAAUAUUACUGACGAGGAAAACAAAACAAAGCCAAAGCCGAAGCCAUCGCCGUCGCCGUCGCCAUCGCCAUCGCCAUCUGCCAGGGCUGAACGUACUUGUCGCCGUUUUUCACUGGAUGAGAUCAAAUUAGCCACAAAAAAUUUCAAUGACGCACUACUAAUUGGAAGGGGCGGAUUUGGUGAAGUCUACAAAGGCCACAUUGAUAAUAAGCAAACUACCGUUGCUAUAAAGAGGUUGAAAUCAAGCUCCAAGCAAGGUGCACAAGAGUUCUUGGCAGAAAUCGAGACACUUUCUGAGCUCCGACAUGUUAACCUAGUAUCUCUAAUUGGUUACUGCAAUGAAGACGGAGAAAUGAUUCUUAUUUAUGAAUACAUGCCAUGUGGAACAUUGGCUGAUCAUAUUUACAAACUUGCAGGGGAAAAUAAUACCUGCUCUUCUCUCACAUGGAAGCAAUGCCUUGAUAUUUGCAUCGGAGCUGGUCGAGGACUAGAUUACCUCCACACAGGCCAUGGAGUCAUACAUAGAGAUAUAAAGGCUUCAAAUAUCCUGCUUGAUGAAAAUUUCAUAGCUAAGGUUUCUGAUUUCGGAUUGGCCAAGCUUGAAAACAAAAGCAAGUUAAAGACCCACAUUACCACGAACGUUAAAGGCACGUUUGGAUACCUCGAUCCAAAUUACUUCAGCACUCAUAAACUAACCAGGAAAAGUGAUACAUAUGCCUUUGGGGUGGUGUUGUUGGAAGUAUUGUGUGGGAGGCCCGCAGUAGAUUUGAAGGUUCCAGAGGAUAAGCGAGUUCUGUCCAAAUGGGCACGAGAUAAGAUUAGCAUGGGAGAAGCUGAUCAAAUUGUAUCAGUUAGUUUGAGAGACGAGAUUUCACCAAAUAGCCUCACGACAUUUGUUGGAGUUGCCCAAAGAUGCUUAUCCGAUGAACUGAAAAACCGGCCAACAAUGUCUCAAGUUGUGUCACAACUUGAGUUCGCGAUCGAGCAACAGGAGACAAAACAACUUUCGAAAAUAGCAGCAAGUGCGUCUAAUGACAACCAUUGUCUUAAUAAUGAUAAAGAUUGCCUAUCAUUUCAGACUGGUCAACCAACAGCUUUCUCUACAGAAGUGCGAAAUAUCACACCUCCUCCAAAGGAACAAACUAAUAGCAAUGUGGUUGUUGCUCAACUUCCACAGAAUGAUAACGAUGGCCUAUCAGUUCAGACGGAGCAACAAACAAUUUUCUCUACAGCCGUGCAAAAUCUCGCACCUCCUCCGAAAGAACAAACUCAUAGCAAUGUGGCUAUUGCUAAAUUUCCACAAAAUGAUAACAAUGACCUAUCAAUUCAGACGAGGCAACCAUCAAUUUUCUCUACAGUUGUGCAUAAUUUCACACCUUCUCCAAAAGAACAAACUAAUAGCAAUGUGGUUAUUGCUCAGCUUCCACGAAAUGACAAUUAUGGCCUAUCAAUUCUGACAGAGCAACCAGCAGUUUUCUCUACAGCUGUGCAGAAUUUCGCACCUUCUCCGCAAGAACAAACUAUUAGCAAUGUGGCUAUUGCUCAGCUUCCACUCAAGGGAAAUGAAUUGCCAUCAAUUUCAGGUACAAAUUCAAUAAAUGGAGAAAAAACAAAACUUGACUAUUCAUAUCUUAAUAUUCAAACUUGUUAUGGUCUAAUUUAAUGUGCUUCUGAUGUUACCUGAAAUGUAAAACUGGCAGAGUUGGAUUUGGAUACAAGUACACCAGCCAUCAGUGAAUCUUGUUCUACAUGGAACUUAUGCAGACUUUUCUCGUUCAAUGAGAUCAAAGCCGCCACAGGCAACUUGGAUGACAAUUUCAUCAUCGGCAAGGGAAGAUUCUUCAAUGUGUACAAAGGGUUCAUCGAGGACACCGCCACCACUACCACCGUGGCCAUCAAAAUAGUGAAAAUGUCGUCGUCCUCAGGUGUCCGCAAGUUUCUAAAUAGAAUCAAGAUGCUGUCGCAGGUAAGGCACCUCAACUUGGUAUCACCAAUCGGCUACUGCGACGAGGGCCAACAAAUGAUAUUAGUCUAUGAUUACAUGGUGCAUGGCAGCUUACAUGACCAUCUCUACAACUCAAAGAACAAUAUAACAUUAACGUGGAAAAGGCGCCUCCAAAUUUGCUUAGGCGUUGCCGUAGGAUUGCACUACCUUCACAUGGGCAAUGAGUACAACCCCGUCAUGCAUCGCGGAGUCAACUCCACAAACAUCCUACUGGAUGAGAAAUGGGUGGCCAAGGUUUCCUUCGGGCCAAGGUAUAUCGAACUACGACGGUCGACAGCAGAGGACGACGUGCACUACAUGGGCGUGGUGUUGUUCGAAGUGUUAUUCGCCAAGCCAGAGGAGCCGAUAAACUUGGACAAAUGUGUUGAAUUUUGUAAAAGGGAAGGGACACUUAUGGAAAAGGUUCAACCAUUACUUGGGGACGACACAAAACCAUAUAUUGAUUCUAAUCUGUACAAUCAAAUUGCCCCUAAAUGUUUGAAUAAAUUCGUCGAGACAGCCCUGUCAUGCAUAAAUGAAGAGCAAAGUAAGCGGCCGGCAAUGAACGACGUUGUUCGGAGCCUCGAGUUCGCGAUGCAGCUGCAAGUGGCGGAGGAUAAAGGCGGCCGCACAGCUUCCCUUCACUGAGCCUUCUUUCCCGCACCGGGUAAAUCUCCAAUCUCGCGAGCAAUCUUGAACUAAAUCUCAUAAAGAAUUUAGGGUUUGGAAUACGGAAAAUUGGGAAAUAUGUAAUUUGGAGCAUUUCUUAGAAAUAAAUUAGGGAUUUGGAAAAUGGAAAAUUGUUUGGAAGAAAGAGGACAGAUGUAAAUCGCACAUGUCAUAUGCAGGGUCUCAUUUUUUUCUUUCUUGCGUAAAGUUUCAAGUAGGGAAUGAAAUUUAGCCCUAUUCAGUAUUUGAGCAGUCAUUUGUUGAAGAACUAAAUGUUACAUAUAGUUGAAUUUAUUUUCUGCUAACAUUAUUGUAAAAGUAAAAGAAAUGGAUUUUGAAAUACAAUUCACCAUAUUAAAUAAUUAUUAUUCGUCAAUUUGUUAUGUAAAACGAGGGUUGCUAAUUCAAAUCAAUUAGUAAUAUCUCUUGCCAAUAAAUCUUGAAAUAAUAGAAAAACUUUGAAGUAAGCAAUUAUAUAUGUAAGCAUGAAAGCUGUGAAGUAAAGGGAUAGCAUUACCUGACAGACGAAUCCAUUUAGGGAUGAGGUUUCAGAUGAAGUACUAUAUCUAUGUUGAUCUUCAAUCAAGAAGCCUCUUUUUUUUUUUUUUCACUGCGUCAUUUCUUCAAACACCUUGACUACAUUUGCCGAAGAUUCACAAUUCACCAAAGCAGUAGCCAAGCGACGCACUCUGUAACGCAAAGAUCACUGUAUGUUGGGGAAACCAAAAUCAAAUCCGACAGUAUCUUUAUGCCCUGCUUGUUUUAAUGCCUGGUUGCAAAGUUUUUGACAUCGUGAUAAAACUAUUAAAUUAUUAUUAGAUUAUUUUGGUGGGGGUGGGAUUAAUCAGUUUUUAUUAGGUACGGCCUACUACGCGUACACAAAUGUGUCCCCAAAUGAC